rnacentral:rRNA from 1 species
GAUGAACGCUAGCGGCAGGCCUAAUACAUGCAAGUCGAACGGAGUGGAGCAGCAAUGCUUCACUUAGUGGCGCACGGGUGCGUAACGCGUAUGCAACCUACCUUUUAUUGGGGGAUAGCCCGAAGAAAUUCGGAUUAAUACCGCAUAAUAUCAUUUGAGGGCAUCUGAGGAUGAUGAAAGCAUUGGCGAUAAAAGAUGGGCAUGCGUGUCAUUAGCUAGUUGGUCGAGGUAACGGCUCACCAAGGCGACGAUGACUAGGGGUUCUGAGAGGAUGAUCCCCCACACUGGUACUGAGAUACGGACCAGACUCCUACGGGAGGCAGCAGUAGGGAAUAUUGGGCAAUGGCGGAAACGCUGACCCAGCCAUGCCGCGUGCCGGAUGAAGGCCUUCUGGGUUGUAAACGGCUUUUACCAGGGAAGAACCUACCUUUGCGAAGGGAACUGACGGUACCUGGUGAAUAAGCACCGGCUAACUCCGUGCCAGCAGCCGCCGUAAUAC